UACGGAGGGUGCAAGCGUUAUCCGGAUUCACUGGGUUUAAAGGGUGCGUAGGUGGGUUGGUAAGUCAGUGGUGAAAUACUUUCGCUUAACGAAGGAACUGCCAUUGAUACUACCAGUCUUGAAUACAGUGGAGGUAGGCGGAAUGCGUCAUGUAGCGGUGAAAUGCUUAGAUAUGACGCAGAACACCAAUUGCGAAGGCAGCUUGCUACACUGUUAUUGACACUGAGGCACGAAAGCGUGGGGAUCAAACAGG
rnacentral:rRNA from 1 species